rnacentral:rRNA from 1 species
UACGAAGGGGGCUAGCGUUGCUCGGAAUCACUGGGCGUAAAGCGCACGUAGGCGGAUCUUUAAGUCAGGGGUGAAAUCCCAAGGCUCAACCUUGGAACUGCCUUUGAUUCUGGGGAUCUCGAGUCCGGAAGAGGUGAGUGGAACUGCGAGUGUAGAGGUGAAAUUCGUAGAUAUUCGCAAGAACACCAGUGGCGAAGGCGGCUCACUGGUCCGGUACUGACGCUGAGGUGCGAAAGCGUGGGGAGCAAACAGG